rnacentral:rRNA from 1 species
UUGCUCUUCAACGAGGAAUGCCUAGUAAGCGUGAGUCAUCAGCUCACGUUGAUUACGUCCCUGCCCUUUGUACACACCGCCCGUCGCUACUACCGAUUGAAUGGCUUAGUGAGAUCUCCGGAUUGGCUUUGGGAAGCUGGCAACGGCUACCUAUUGCUGAAAAGCUGAUCAAACUUGGUCAUUUAGAGGAAGUAAAAGUCGUAACAAGGUUUCCGUAGGUGAACCUGCGGAAGGAUCAUUAAUGAAUUUUACGCCCUAGUCUUAACUGAUAGGGGCUGGUUCUAUCCAUAACACCUGUGCACUGUUGGAUGCUUGCAUCCACUUUUAAACUAAACAUUAUUGUAACAAAUGUAGUCUUAUUAUAACAUAAUAAAACUUUCAACAACGGAUCUCUUGGCUCUCGCAUCGAUGAAGAACGCAGCGAAAUGCGAUAAGUAAUGUGAAUUGCAGAAUUCAGUGAAUCAUCGAAUCUUUGAACGCACCUUGCGCUCCUUGGUAUUCCGAGGAGCAUGCCUGUUUGAGUGUCAUGAAACCCUCAAACCCAAGUUUUGGAUUUCGGUCCAUGCUUGAGUUUGGAUUUGGAUGUUUGCCGGUGAUGAACCGACUCAUCUUAAAAGUAUUAGCUGGAUCUGUCUAUAUGACUGGUUUGACUUGGCAUAAUAAGUAUUUUGCUGAGGACAUCUUCGGAUGGCCAGGACCUAGACUAUUGUCUGCUAACUAAACCAUCACUUUAAGUGCAUCCUUGGAUGUUACUCAUUGUGUAACUUUGACAUCUGGCCUCAAAUCAGGUAGGACUACCCGCUGAACUUAAGCAUAUCAAUAAGCGGAGGA